CGCAUGGACUCAGCCUCAGGACCAGGACCGGUUGUCGUCAUCACUCAGCUAACCGUGCGACAGAGGGGUUUCAACUUCCUGUGAUUGCUACUGACUUCCUGCCAUUUCCAUGGAAACGGUGACAAUUCUCCACUUGAGGAAAUCCGGAAUAGGCACCUGCCACACUAACUUCAGUGUCAUCACAUAUGACUGAAGGAGAAACACACUGCUGUCGAUGUUGGAGGACAAAAAAGGAACAAUAGAUGGCGAACUGAGACACAUCUUUUGCAUGCUGAGGAGACACUCGGGGUCAGCAUGCAUUCUCGGGAAGGUGCUCUGUGAUAAAGAGCAAAGAGGCUGGGAGCUCAUUCGAAAGUGGAUUGGAGGCAUUAUACAGAGGUUAGAGGUCAGAAGUUUAACACAUUCCAACAUUUCACCCUCAGUGGAGACGACAAUAGAAACCUGUGCAGUUCUUACAUUAAGUUUCAAGAUGAUGGAGAUUCAGCGAGAGUGCAGAGUGUCUUUCUCUGGCUGGUUGGUAACCAUAAUGGUAGUACAGUCAAGCUGUAAAAGUUCAAUAACGUCAGAUGUGUUUUCUAUUUUAAUGGAAGCUAACGGUAAUGUGAAUGGGUUCACAUUUGUUUAAUAUAAACCCUCUGUUUUUACACAAGUUUACACAUAAUCUGCAUGAUUACUAAAACAUGCUCAAUUUUGAAGUUUGUUUUUAAUAUGCAUUGAAUUUCCACAGUAAAAUGCAAAAAGGGAAUCAGGGAGCUACUCACAGCCACAAAAAGAGAUAACGUAAUGGAUGAGACUGAUCAUUGAAGAUCCUAAAGUUUAGAUUUUCAGGCUCCACACGGUAUCAACCUAUAACCGAACAACAAACCUAUUGGUUUUUUUUAUCUAUAUGAUACAAAAUAAUAGAAAUUAUAAAUCUGAAUAUUUAUGAUAAAGGGAAUAAAGUGUGGUAACUCAUUUUUCAUGACAUUGGUGUCUAUUUGACUGGAGUAAAGAGAGACAAGGUGUCUCUCUCUCUCUCUCUCUCUCUCUCUCUCUCUCUCUCUCUCUCUCUCUCUAUAUAUAUAUAUACUGUAUAUUGUGAAAGCUGUUUUCUUUUCUUUGCUGUUGACAUUGAUCAUAAUCCACCCUCAUGAUGGACAUUCAUGGAGCAUGACUGAGUGUGAAUAUGACUGGAUGUUUAUGGGAAUGAGAGACUAAUGCACUGUGGCCAAAUAGUGUUUGCUGAGUGAUUAGGCAUCCAUAUUUAUGAUUCACCACACCCAUGGACUACAAUUAAACCUGUAUCUGUAUCAACAUGACAGGAAGUCAUUUGGGAAACAGCGGAGGAUAGGCUAUCUAUUGUGUCAGGCUGUUACAGUCUGAAAAUAAUAGGGCUUGACUCAAUGAAUAGGUUUUCAUAUUCAUAAUUGGCUAUGCCCUGUGUCUGUGUAGUUUUCUUUGCACGCUUAUCACAAUAACACAGAGUGAUAAUCGGCUGUUAUCUCAAUCCCCAAAACUCUCAUUUCAACAGAGGUUAUUAGAGUGCGAAAUAGCUAGCCAUAUAGCCCCUUACUAUAUUCCACGCACACACCACUCACUCUCAGAUAGAGUAUGAAAUAAGAGGCCUCUCAACUAUUUAAUAACCCAAUUUACCAAUC